CUUUCUCCCAGUCACCCGUCCGCCGCCUCCGCCACUACUGCCAUCUCCCUCGCUCCUCUCCUCCAAAAUCGCCGCCCCGUCCUCCAGGCCGGCGCCGCCCCAACCUGCAUCCCAGCGCCGCCCCGACCUCAUACCCGGCGCCGCCCCGUCCUCCAGACCCCUUGCCGGCGGCCACCCCGUUCCCCGCCCCACUUUGCUCCGCUCCCGAGGCUUAGGGCUCCGGCCGCGCUCCCCUUCCCUCCCCGCAUUCCCAAUCUCGCCGCCGCCAGCCCGCUUGGCCUCGCCCUCCCCUCUCGCCCAACGGCCGUGUCGGGUUGUCUCGCCGCUUGUGUUGGGCGGGUGCGUGGGGGCGGAGGGGGAGGUGAACCCGGAGGCGGCCGCGGCAGUGGCGGCGGAGAGGGACGAGACCGUGGCGCUGCGCCCGCGAGGGAGCUCGUGGUGGGGUACGCGCUCUCGUCGAAGAAGCCCAAGAGCUUCCUCCAGCCCAAGCUCCGGGGGCUCGCCAGGUAUUGCGGGUUUGCGAUGUGCGCCUCCGACAAUCACUGCCUCCCUCUCUCGGCGGGUGCGAGUCCUCUCCUUCCAAAUCCCGUGGUGCCCUGGAGUCCUUGUCGACCCGGCAGCUGGAUCAGCGAACUCCGGCUCCAAGCCUCCACCCAGAUCUGGAUAGAUCUCUAGGACCCCAGGAAGUUUGUGGUGCAUUGUGUAAAUUCCAAUCGGCAUGCUGAAGUGGAUAAUUGGGAUGCCACAGUGGAAAAGGUUGUCCCAUACUGAUAGCACGUAAUGCUAUCUAUUGCUGUGGAGAUUCAAAACAUCACAUACUCGUUUGCUUCAAUUUUUCAGGAAUAUUUCAAUGUCCUAUUCGAACUAUGAAUAGCACAUAAGCUGGACUAGAGGCCUAUAAACACAUGGUUUCCAAAUUCUUUCACUGCUCAAUCAGCUAGCAGUUCUCCAUGGAACAGUUGGGAAAUUGGAGCUGAGAAAUGCUUGAGGAACUUCAUGGUGGUGCCAGGCAGCAGCUUAUCGACAACAAGGUGAUCAAAGGGCUGAUCCAGUGUUUGAUUUGUUUUUGAUUAUCUGAAGAUGGCUUUAUUGUUUUGGAGGCAAACAAUCCAAAUAUGUAGCUAGGAUGUGUAUGAUUGAUGGACAUCAUGAGCUACUGAUGUUGUUAUGUGGCUACAUGAAUUGAAUGAAAGCUUUUAUAGCUAAUGUGGUCACUUGCUUUGCGAUGCAUGUGUGUACAUGGAUAUUACAUUAAUCUUUGUUUUGGAUUUUUUUUAUAUAUCUAAACGACCCUGUUGGUCGUUAUAAAC